AAGCUGACGGGGUGUAAUGACAAUCAUAUGACGAUGUCAAUGCACCGCGUUGGCUCCA
rfam:Pristionchus pacificus strain PS312 contig11371, whole genome shotgun sequence.